rnacentral:lncRNA from 1 species
CAGUAUAUUCCUACAUCGUGGGUCUGGGGAGGGUAGAAUGUACGCAGUCCAUACCACUACCUCUAAAGAAGUAGAGAGACUGUUUCUGAUAGACUCCCGGCUCAAGACAAAGGACAAUAUAAAAAAAACAUCAAAAGUAUGGGACAAGAUAUAAUUAAGAACUAUCUAACCUAAAUCAUAGGCUUCACGUAGCACCACGAAUAAAAACUACAGACACAAAAGAACGCUUCCUUAUUGUUACGGACGCACUCCCACCGCCUAACUCUCUACCCUAAUCCACGUCCUCCACACCUUCCUAUCAAGGGUCAUGUCCUCUGUAAGUUAUAAUUGUUCCAUAUCAUGCCUAAUUACCUCCCUCCAAUAUUUCUUCGGUCUAUCUCUACCCCG